rnacentral:lncRNA from 1 species
GGCCUGACGAGAGCUUCUGACACAUAUGAUGACGUGUCUCGAGGAGAGGUAACACAAGGCCUGACAGGGGAGCUACUGCACCGAUGAUGACGUGUUCUCUGAAGGAGGCCAGAAGCCAGGUCUGGCUUGUGGAGCUACUUCAGGGGCAAAGGCUUCUUGAGAGGAGGAGGACCACACCCUGACAGAGGGCCACUUCAGGGGCAAGAGUUCUCCUACGAGGAGAGACCUAGGCCUGACGGAGGAAGGCAGCUGCACCAGGAUGACGUUGUCUCUGAGAGAGGUGGACCAGGUAGAGGCUUCGGACCAGGCCUGACGGAGGAGCUGCGUCAGGAUGCUGCGUCUCUGACGAGGGGAGACGUGUUCCAGACUGACGAGCUGAACGUGGACGACCACUGGACUCAAAGACGAGGAGACACACCCGGGAACGACGGCACCGAUGAGACGCGGCCCCGCUCUCCAAAACCCCCGUCACGAACCCGCCGUCUGCAGCUGCGGACGCCUCCACCACGGCAGGACUGAGCAGCUGACUGGCCGUCGGGCUCUUCGGCAUCGUCGUUUUUGUCCAAAUCUACAGAUACUGGACUUUAGCGGGAAAAUGAUGAGCGGCUCUCAGUGAAACUGUGACUGUACUGAUAAAAAUACCCGUACUCCUGAUCCUGCAGGUGAUACUAUAGCAGGACACGCCGGACUGAGCAGCUGAAAGGUUCUGUUCAAGUAUGACUCCCUGAAGUAGAUUUUUAAAAUAAAAAAAUUCUAAUGUGAUUCAGUGAUUUUAUUUUGGAAUGUGAGCCAUUGUCCACAUUAAACUGGUAAAUCAUUAGAGUGAAGGUUGGGUAGAUAUUUAUUUACAGUGUUGCCACAGAUUACUAAGGAAACUGGUUGCUUUUAUAAUAAAGUAAUCGGUAAAGUAAGUUGGUUAGAUUACAAGUUAAUUGGGUACAUUAAUCACCUCCGCUUCAAAAUGCAAAUGAACCGGUUUUGCCAAAACUCGCGUUAUUGGAAAUGCAUUUUAGAUUCAGAAAAGUGACGUGUUUCCAUCUGUCUCUAAGGUUAAGGUUGCAAGAAAAUAUAAGUAUAAAUGACAAUAGUAACUCAGAUACUUGGAAAAGUAACUUUCAGUGGUGGAAGUACUUGAUAUUCUGAAGUAAAAGUGCAGAUACAGGUCCAAAAAUGUACUUAAGUAAAGUAAAUUGUACAAUGCAUACUUUUAUAAGUAAGAGUUUAAUGUGCAGGAUUUUUCUAAAUCAUUUGAAUCAAACCAGGUCUAAAUGAGUAAACCACUAAACCAGGUCAAAAACAAGAAGUAAACUAGGUCUAAACCCGGUCUUGGUCUAACCUCUUCACCCCCACCUGAACCGAGGACAUUUUCUCCCAUUUGGCUUUAACCAAAUCUAAAAGCGUCUGGGGGGGGAAAAAAAACUCUGAAUAACAGAGAUGAAAAUGUGACAAAACUGUGAUGGAAAAAAGCGACAAAAACCGUCAAGAACAUGAAAACAGGACAAAAACUCAAGAAUCAGUUUGUGGGUCUUAGCUUUCAAAUGAGGUGUUACACUGACCUAUGGGUCUAGAGUAAACCACUAAACAAAGUCUAAACCAGUUCAUCGUAAAGAGGUCACUUUGAAAAUAAAAUACUUUUAACCCAAUUUAAAAAUGUAGUUGAGUACAAAGUACAGAUACAGGCUCUAAAAAUGUAGUGAAGUGAAAGUAAAAUGUAUUUAUCAUAAAAUUUACUUAAACGGCAUAUGACACAUUAACACGAUUAUAUUUAAGAUUUGCUAAAGAUUAUUCCCAGUUUUCUUUAGUUUGACCAUUUUUGUGAUGUUUAUGUUUUCACUUCCUUAUUGGACACAGACAGGAAGUGAUAUCGAAGAAGGUAAACAAUUUAAAAUUGUUGCCGUGCAACCAUGUUAAGUCAAUGGGAAAUGAAUGAGUCAAACUGCUAUGGAAUGUUUCCUUUUAUGUCACUUCCUGUCAGAAGCUUAAAAAUUCAAAUAAAAAUAACUUUUCUGCCCAAGAUUUCUUCAUUAAAAUUGCUG